GUAGAGUGGCGGACGGGUGAGUAACGCGUGGGAAUCUGCCUAGUAGUGGGGGAUAACAAUCGGAAACGGUUGCUAAUACCGCAUACGCCCUACGGGGGAAAGGCUUCGGCCGCUAUUAGAUGAGCCCGCGUAAGAUUAGCUUGUUGGUAGGGUAAUGGCCUACCAAGGCAACGAUCUUUAGCUGGUCUGAGAGGAUGAUCAGCCACACUGGGACUGAGACACGGCCCAGACUCC
rnacentral:rRNA from 1 species